CAACUUCUCAGGGCUGCUCUCUGGCCACUAGAGCCAGGCAGUCACCUAGCUGCUGUUAUGCUGCAUACCUGUCUCUGAGUACUCGCUUCAUCCAUCGGCCAGGGUCUGUGGGACAGACCAGGCAGGUGGUGCCCCAUGUGAGGAACGCUGCAAUGGAUUGCAAGGGAACCCCUGAAAACAAAUGUGAAGUGACUGAGCAGUGUUAACCUUAGAAGACUAGAACCUAAUGAGUUAUGGCAAACAGAUGUUAUGCACGUCCCUGAAUUUGGAAAACUAAGGUCCUCUUUGGAUUCCAGCACGAGGCAUCAAACCAUACCAUGGCAUGGCUAGGACCCAACCCGGUACCAAAAUGAAGAAAAUGACCCUACAGGACCCACAAUCCCGGAUGAUGUGGCUUCCUUGGAUGACACAGGCCCUGGACAUUACCUGGGGGAUGCUGAAGAAGACAACUCAGGAGGCCAAGCAAAUCCUGCUCCAGGCACAGACACCAUUCACUCCAGGAAGCUGCCAUUCAUUCGACAUAAGUAGGUGCUUCAUCUGAUAAGCGCUGCUUGUGUAAUUUAUCAAUGACAGAGAAGGCAGAUAGCAGCAUGCAUACUUGGGGCUGCAUUUGAAGGAGAGCAACAUCCCUUUGUUUUCACAGAGGAGAACAAGCAUGAGUUGAGAUUGUGGUGCUUCUUGAAGUCUCAUCCAGAUCAGAAACCUGCUGCUCUGUCCACAUUCCAUCCACCAAAGCAACCCAUAUGGCCAUGUCCAGCAUCAGAUGGGGAAAGGCAGUUCUCCUCUAGCACGAGGAGCUGCAAAGCCACAUGGCAAAGGAUGAGUGUGUAAAAAAUAAAUGCAGGAGGG
rnacentral:lncRNA from 1 species